ensembl:lncRNA
CUUUCCCAAGAACUGGUAACUUGAAAUGCAUUUUCUCUCCUUAUAAAUUCAUUCCCCAGGGCUGCAGUUCUUCUAGCUUUAAGGCAGUUUUCAUUAAAGCAGCCAGCUGCCUCUUUGUGUGGAUUGGCUGUUUAAAGCAGUUGCUCUGAAGUCGGAGCCUCAGUUUUGACAUUCUGUGGACCCUUUGGAAAGACGUACCAUUCAGAUGUGAGUGGGUCUCCACCAAAUCAAACAGCUGCUGGGGCUAGGAGAACAGAAAGUAUAAUAAGAAUGAAUGACUGGAACAAGGCUGAAAAGGAGGUGUAAGGGUACCCGCUCCACACUCGACCCUGCCCCGCGGCCCUGCUGCUCCAGGCUGAAUCCGCGCCUAACGCACCGCUGCCGGGCUCACAGGCUCCGAGGGCGGCAGCAGCCACCUGCUCCGGUCUGCGGAGGACGGCGCGACGCGCUGGCGCUCGGGACAGAGGGAGAGGGCGCCGCGGUGCAUCGUCCUGCGCGCGCUCAGGCUCGCUCUGGAACUGAAGGCUGAGAGGGAAGCUUCUUGAGACCAACCCCAACCCGCUGGCGCCCGCAGAAGUUACUGAUGAGGACGUGCUCCCUACCAUCAGUCCCUCUGCUUUCACCUACGCUUCCUCGCUUUGGAAGCGGCGAACUGAAAAGUUGCACCGGCCGGCGCCAGGAGCUCUGGAGAAGCGCACGCAGCCCCAGAGGUGCGGCUUCCCAGAGAGGCCCCUUCUGUCUCGUUCCGCCGCACCCCUGGCCAGCCUACCUAAAGCCUCACGCAAGGUGAAGGUUGGCCGGUGCAAGCUCCUACUUUUCUAAACCCAAACCCGCGCGCGCGCCCGAGUAUGCAUCUGACAGACUUUUGGAGUUUUGUUUUCAGUUCGGAGCGCAGCACUGUGCAAAACAGGCAACUCAGAACCUUAACAAGAGUCGCUCAGAAGCCUCGGCCUCUUGGCCAGUCUUUUCCGCCAGAGACUGGAAGGCAAUUGGGCCUGUAGGCAGAGCCUGUGCUAAGGGGAGGGGUGACGUGGGGAAGAGGUGAAAGGCACCUGUGCCCUGAAAUGUAGGCACGAAGGGGAAGGAGACUUCAACGGGCGUAGGGUAAGCCUGGCUCCUCGCUCGAGGACUAAGCGACCGUGUUGUGUGUAUCCCUAGGAAAAUGAAAAUCCCGCUGGCUCCUUGUGACCCAGUCUUUCUCUUCCUCCAUCCCUUCCCCGCCCCUUAAAGCCCUAUUGGGAAGAAAGUGGACCCCCCCCCUCCAAAACACACACACGCACACACAAGCACACAAGCACACACACACCAAAUCUUCCAAGUGGCGACAGUCGAUAAGAGCUCCUGGACCGCCCCCCUGCCUGGCUGCUCCGCCUGGGAGACAGAUGGGGGGCGGGGCCCCUCGGAGAGCGGGA